AUGAAGUUUCUUGUGUAUGAAACCAGUAUCAAGUUAAGAAUUGCUACCUGUCAAGAACUCCUGCAUAGAAGAUCAUUUUGGAGAUACUAAGAAAUUAAUAUUGGAAAUGUUCUAUAUAUCCCAAACAUAAAUACAUUGGAAUAUGCAAGUUGUAUUACAGAUUCACCGACAUGCUGUGGAAGGCAAUAGAGGGCCAAGCCAAGGGAAGGCACUAGCAGAAGUUCAUGGAAUUAGCAGCAGAGCUGAGCUCUAAGAAGCCUGAAUUCAAAUAAAAGUCCAAAGCUCAGCUCUUAACUAAUUGGCUGGCCUUGAACCUACUGUGUAACCUGGAUUGGCAGUGAUUCUUCUUUUUCAGCCUCCUGCAGCACCCUCCUGCUCUGCUAACCAAAUUACUUGAGCACAAGGAAAUACUCAUCAUUUUCGGUGACUAUCACCUGAAUGCUAUGGAAAUCCACAUGAGAGAAGAUAAACUCAUGAUGAAGGCAUAAUUUGUAGUUUACUUACUCCUGGAGUAAACACUGCUCUAUAAAUAUGACUACUCCAGAGGGCCACACCUGCUUAUCACUGUCCUUGGGUGGCAUCUCUAGAACAACAGACACUAGUGUUUCAGGAGCAUAUUAACAGGUGCCUGGCUGCCUGCUUUAAUCUUUCACCUUCCCUGUGCAAAGAUAGCAAAGAGAAAACGCAGCUCAAUGAGGCUGAAGGGGCAUGAAAUUGUGUUAAGCAGCACUCAAGACAAUGACUGAAUUUGCUAUUUUAAAGAGAGGGGACAAGGUCUCACUAUGUAGUUCAGCUUGGCCUUGAACUGGUUAUAUAGCCCAGGCUCACCUUGAAUUUUUGAUGAUUCUCCUGCCUCAGCCUCUGGAGGGCUAGAAUCACAGAGCUCUCUCCUGAAAUGGGAAAAAUAACUCCCCACCUGUUACACGUUAGAUGUGCUGAAUUCAUGAUGGAACGAAGGAGCAUCAAGGAACGAAGACCCAAACCAAAGGAAACGCUGUUCCUUAGCCUGUAUUCCAUUUUACUUCCACCAAAGAAAAGCAGAGAAGAUAAAGUGAUGAAGUUUUAAGCAAAUCUUCAGGAGGAGAAGUUGUACUUUCUUGGUGUUAUUGUGAACAAGUAUCUAAGAAGCCAAUUGGAUCAUGAGUGGUCUGAGAAGAUUAGUAUACUUAAAUGCUCAACAUGCAUCAUUUAUUUGUAGGUUUUUAUGUGAAAGGAAUUUCUUCAGACUGUGCUGCAAUUUUACUGUUCCUACAGAGCAGAGCAGGAAAUGUCCUACAAUCUUAACACUUAGCAAGUAAUGUGUGCUUUCUUCUGACCACAGGAAAAGUUCAAGAUCUUUCAGGUUAGUCCACUGUCUGUGAGUAAGCUUCCAAGCUGGUGGUUAAGUCAUACCAACAUCACACAUAUUUUUGGCUGUAUGGGGUAGCAUAUUCCUAUCAUGUAUGUUCCUGAAAUUCAUAUGGUAAAGUCCCAACUCCCAGUGUUCCUGUCUUUGGGGAUAAGACCUUAUGGAGGUAAUUAAGUUUAAAUAUAUUAUAAGAGCAGGACAUGGUCCAUCUGGAUUUGUGUCCUCACAUGAAGAGAUAUCAACAAGCUCAGUUUUUUAGUCAUGUUAGUAAAUGGGGAACCAUCUAUAAACCAGGAAGAGCACCCCUACCAGAUAGGGGGUCAUGCCUGGACCUGAAGUCUUCAGAACCAUAAGAAAUAAAUUCCUGUUAUUUAAGCCAGACUCUCAUUAUUAUGUUAUAAUAACUAGAGGUACCUCAAUUACCACUUAAAACAAAAAUAUGAUUGAUCAUCAAACAUGUUUUGAAAACUACUGUACAAUUAAACAUUUAAAAAUUGCAUUUUCCUCCCUUUUUCCACUCCCCAUGAUCUCUGUUGUUUUUAAUAUCUUUACUUCCUAGAAUAUUAAAAGCUCAAGAUAUUUAUGAGAAAUUAAAACAUACAGACACAUAGAUGCAAAACCUAUACAAAUGCAUAUAUUAUAAUUUUUCCACAAGCUCACUUCUUUUGUAGACUGACUAAACAUAAAUCAGGAGUUGAAAUGGAGCUUAAUUAUUGGAGGGUCUAUUAUGCUAUAUGAAUUGCAUUGUUCUGACUCAGAACUGUUCCCUUAAUAUCCUGGGAGAGAGUGCAUUAUCACAGAGAACUUCAAAACUACCUAUUGCUUCCAUGAAAUCCCUGGAUAGUCAGAAAUGUUGAGUUUCUCCAAGAAGAGAAAGCAUGUUUUUAUAGCAGAGAAACACUAAUUUAGGUUGGAAAUAUGUUGGAAAAUGUCAUUUAAUUUUCAACCCAAACAAAACAAGAGAAAGGGAAAUAUCACUUAGAAUUUAGAGCUUGUAAAAUUUUGCAAGUCCUACAGAUUUGGCCAAAUCUAAAAUAUUACUUGGCAUUUAUCCUCUUGAAUGAGUAUUUUUGGAGUCCAAAUUAAAAUUGUAGAUAUACACUGAGAAUGUGUUAAUUUAGUGCUGUUCUGUUUCUUGUUAUAGUUAUUGUCCUCUGAGCUAAGCAUUUGUUCCAAAUAUAACCUAUUUAAGUUACUAUGCCAUGAAGAUGGCAGAUUAAGCUACCUAUUUUAAAAUCAUGGUCACAGGCCCAUGGUAUGGAACACACACAAGUACAACAGAUUUCAGUAUUAACACUGUGUUACAUAUCAUCUCCUAAUUGAAGAAAAAAAUAGUAGGUGCCAUGGAAGUUACCAUGCAGGAAGCCUAAUAAAAAGACUCUUGUUUCUAUUCUGUAGAUGACAUAUGAGUUUAAAUACUAUUUUUGGCUAUCUUUUGCCAUUAUUGUAUUUAGAUAUAAUUCUCUAUUUUAUGCAGCCUGGGCCACUGGAUUCUGAGACUAUCUUACAUUUUACAUGUGCUACCAGGAUAGUCAAAUCACAGCUCAGGAAAGAUUAAAUAUCAACAUAUACAUCAGUGCUUAUAGAAAUGUUAUGAGGAUAAAAACUGUUAUAACUGAGAUAAUCUAAGUCUAUCUUCUGAGGUCAAAGUUCCACAUUCCAAAACUUUUAUUGUUUCACUUUGAACUUAAAUCGAUGGAAUAAUCUUUCCUUUUUAUUUUAAAAUGAAAAAGUACAAAAAUUAUCAUAAGAGAAUUUCAAAACAACAUAAUAGGAGUUUAACAACAAUUAAUGUAUUGCAUAUUGUUAUCUUCAAAGUAGUUGCUCAGAUUACAAGAUAUAGGCAUGAAAAAUGAUCAGACACUGAAAGCACAAAUCAUUUUUUUUGAUGAACUGAGAUUAGUAAUAUAAAUACCUUGUAUAUAUAGCCAUAUACAAGAAAUCUAUCAUACAUGUAAAUUUUUACACAUGCAAGUCUGAUUUAUUUCAUUCAUGAGUAUGGUCUCAAGUUGCACCCACUUACCAGUAAAAGCCUUGAGUUUAUCUUUCUUUAUAGCUGAGACUCCAUUGUAUAAAAAUACCACAUUUUAAAAAAUUUAUUUCAUGGUCUGUGGAAUAAUCUUAAACCAUACUUUUUAUCUUCUGUAUGUUUGUUAAAUUAAUGCAUAUGCGUAUAUCUGGAGAUGUAUCUUGCCUUGUCUAUAUAUGUGAGGCCUAGGUUUAAUCUCUAGCCCUGGGGAUAAUAGGACUUGAAAAAUGGUUCUUUUUCUUUGGCAGAGGGCCAAGGGUGGGGGACAGCAACAAUUAGACUUGUGUUUGUGUCUCAACUUUAUAAUUUGGUGCUUUUUAAGAAGAGCAAAGAGAAUAAAGAUAUUCUACUUCUAGUCUCUCAUGGAUGAAAAGAACAUCUGAUUUUAGAAUUCUUUGGAGAGCAAUAACUUUGGGAUUGAGCAGUUCCUUGCACCCAGUUAAAAUCUUUGUUGAAUGAAUGAGCUGCUAUACUUGUAAGAAUAACUGGUGCCAGUAGAUGUGUAGUGUUGACUAAGUAAGCCAGAAACAGAAGAUGUAGCAUGCACUAACUAGUUUGCUCUGGCUUCCUUAACAAAACAGCGUAGAAUGGUUGUAUUGAAAAACAAGAGAUUUAUUUUCUCCUGAUACUGGAGACGAGUCUAAGAUCAAGGGCCACUGAAGCUAGUUCCUGCGAGGGGCUUUCUUCUUGGCACCCAGGCAGCCACCCACCAUCCCAGUGUGG